AUACCUUAAACUUCUGAGUAAGGAAAACAGCUACUCAGGGUGAUACUUGAGUCCUUACUGUGCGAUUAAUUUUUGAGUGGGUAAAGUUUGCACUUAAGGUGACCCCCCUACAAAUAAAUAUAAAAAAAAGGGCUAAGGGUAUGGCUCAGUGGUAGAGCACCUGCCUG